GUAGCGUAUAUUAAAGUUGUUGCAGUUAAAAAGCUCGUAGUCGAACUUCGGGCCUGGCGGGACGGUCUGCCUUACGGUAUGUACUGUCUGGCCGGGUCUUACCUCUUGGUGAGGCCGUAUGCCCUUCAUUGGGUGUGCGGUGGAACCAGGAAUUUUACCUUGAGAAAAUUAGAGUGUUCAAAGCAGGCAAUUGCCCGAAUACAUUAGCAUGGAAUAAUAGAAUAGGACGUGCGGUUCUAUUUUGUUGGUUUCUAGGAUCGCCGUAAUGAUUAAUAGGAACGGUCGGGGGCAUUAGUAUUCCAUUGCUAGAGGCGAAAUUCUUAGAUUUAUGGAAGACUAACAACUG
rnacentral:rRNA from 1 species